AAUAGAAGGAGAAUGGAGGGAGAAGGGGAGGGAGGUGCUGGAGUUGAGCCACAUGUUCCCAGGCUUGUGACAUGCUUGCAGAGGGGCCAGGGAUCUCGGUACGACCCACAGGUCCAGAAGGUAAGAGGUGAAAAUUAAGUGGCUCUACUCACUAUCACCCCUAGUCAUCUAAGUGAAGGUUUGUGACUCCUAUUCCCAUGACCUAAAUGCUGCUGGCCUAGAAGUCGUGCUUCUAGAGGUUGGAUUGCUUCUGCCAAGGAACACAACAAACAUUCCACUGAACUGAAAGAUGGGACCAGCUGAUCCCCCUCUGGAGCCUUAUACUGAAACUCGGCUUGCCAUCCUGCCUGUCCUGUCAAGAACUCAAGUGUAUCUGGAGUUUUCUCCAGUCCCGUCUGGAGCCAACAGCCACUCAGACUCAA